CUCAGCCAAUUUCCACUCUUGUCAUUGAUGUCAUUCUCAAGUAUGUCCAGCUCCGUCAAGUUCCUGACACCAAAUUACAAAUGUGGGAUCUCAGCAAGGAUGUGACGUGCCAACGACCAUAUGACAGAAAAAAGCAGGUUCGAUGUCGCAUCCAA